rnacentral:lncRNA from 1 species
ACAGCGAGACGGGCGGUGGGGCGGAGCCGAGGCCCAGGAACGGAGGUGGAGGAGCAGACCCGGGCGACGCGGCCCGCGAGCGAGAGGGUCGUCCGGGUCAGUCCAGCGCAACUCGGGUCACCAGUCCCAGGGCCCUGGUCCCCUUAUUGGAUCUAUGUCUGGGUUUGCUGAAGCACCCGCUGGGCCCAGGACUGCAGAGACGCCCCUACCCAGGCUGUGCCCCGGGUGGAGGGGGACAGGGGGAACGGCUUCAUCGCGGGGUUCGGGGCAGGACAGCUCAGGACCUGCGGAGAUACUGGAUGGUGUAGGAUCCCAGGCCAAAGGUGGCGCACCCUGAGAUCAGCAGCCCAGCUCCCUGCAGCCUUGAGGAGGGCGCUGCCUGCGUCUUUGGGAGCCUCAGCUUCCCCUCCGGUUCCGGGCCUUGGAGUGCUGGUCUGCAGCUGCGGCCUGGCUCUGUGCCCGGCCUGACCCUCGUUCACACUGCACACCCCUGGAGGCAGGACAGAAAGUGUGCACAGCGAAGACCCUGACACCCUACUGGUUGAUGAUCCAAAUCCCGAGGUAUCUCUCAGAGUCCGGUGAGAUCCAGAGCCAGCAAGAGGAAGAAAGUGGCCGCGUCAGCUCCCGAAAGGCCGUCUGGGUGAGGUUGAAAGGAAAAGCCAACAGGAGUUCCCAUCGUGGGGCUUCGGAAACAAUCUGACCAGGAACCAUGAGGUUGCGGUUUCCAUCCCUGGCCUGGCUCAGUGGAUUAAGGAUCCGGUGUCUCUGUGGCUAUGGUGUAGGCCGGCAGCCGUAGCUCCCAUUCGACCAGCAGGCUCUCGGGUCCACCUCCUCUCCCCGUGGUCCUGUGCUGCCUCUUCCUACCCUGCUCCUCAGCAGCUCAGUGCAACUCUCCUGUCCCCCGCAUCCUCCCUGGUCGCACGCAGAGAGCAUCUGUGCAAAGACAACAGACGCGGCCACCCAGACCCUUUAGCUCACAGAGGAUGCCCUGAACGGACUCCCAGGGAGCCUACAGAAGACCACGGACUUGAGAAGGCACUGUGAACUGCUUGGUAGCAUCUGCAAGAUGGGGUUUGGUUUCAGGUCUGUGUCCUGCCCGCCACCCUCAGGCCCCGGUGGGCUCAGGAGGGCCUUGGGCACAGCCCGAGGGGCCUCGACCCUCAUACAGUGCAGAGCAAAGUCAGAGAUGGGUGGAGGCAGCUGCUGCUCCGGGUGGGAGCUGAUGACAUCCCGCCUGUCGUGUAGACAUUUGAGUUAACUGGCCCUGGGGUUGCCAAUAAUCUCAGUCAGGUCGAAGCCUCCACUCGGAGACGUUUGGGGCAGAAACCUGCUGAUUUACCCCUUGUUUUAACUCUUGGGGAACAAGGGGAUUGCUGACCGCUCCCACUGGCAGGGAGCAGGGAGUGGAAAGAGAACAGCCCUCGAGGGAGAGGCCAAGGAGCCCGUCUGCUCUGGCUCUGCACCGUCCAGCACAGUGGCCUCAGCCUGUCCCAACUGCGAUGUGCGAAUGUGCACAAGAAACACCUGAUUUCAAAGACGUUGAAAAAAAUGCCAAAUAUCUUUCUAAUAAUUUUAUAUUGAUUGCCUCUGGAAAUUAUGUUUUAGAUGUGUUAAGGUAAAUAAAAUAUAUUAUUAAAUUU